rnacentral:rRNA from 1 species
AUGUUGAAAAAUUAGCGGAUGACCUGUGGCUGGGGGUGAAAGGCCAAUCAAACCGGGAGAUAGCUGGUUCUCCCCGAAAGCUAUUUAGGUAGCGCCUCGUGAAUUCAUCUCCGGGGGUAGAGCACUGUUUCGGCUAGGGGGCCAUCCCGGCUUACCAACCCGAUGCAAACUGCGAAUACCGGAGAAUGUUAUCACGGGAGACACACGGCGGGUGCUAACGUCCGUCGUGAAGAGGGAAACAACCCAGACCGCCAGCUAAGGUCCCAAAGUCAUGGUUAAGUGGGAAACGAUGUGGGAAGGCCCAGACAGCCAGGAUGUUGGCUUAGAAGCAGCCAUCAUUUAAAGAAAGCGUAAUAGCUCACUGGUCGAGUCGGCCUGCGCGGAAGAUGUAACGGGGCUAAACCAUGCACCGAAGCUGCGGCAGCGAACGUAUCACUUAAAGCGAUUCAGCGGGUUACGAUUGACGGAGCGAAGCGACGUCAAAGCGUAUACAAAGUCGAGUCGGUUUAAGGAUACGUUCGUUGGGUAGGGGAGCGUUCUGUAAGCCUGUGAAGGUGUGUCGUGAGGCAUGCUGGAGGUAUCAGAAGUGCGAAUGCUGACAUAAGUAACGAUAAAGCGGGUGAAAAGCCCGCUCGCCGGAAGACCAAGGGUUCCUGUCCAACGUUAAUCGGGGCAGGGUGAGUCGACCCCUAAGGCGAGGCCGAAAGGCGUAGUCGAUGGGAAACGGGUUAAUAUUCCCGUACUUGGUGUUACUGCGAAGGGGGGACGGAGAAGGCUAUGUUGGCCGGGCGACGGUUGUCCCGGUUUAAGCGUGUAGGCUGGUUUUCCAGGCAAAUCCGGAAAAUCAAGGCUGAGGCGUGAUGACGAGGCACUACGGUGCUGAA